rnacentral:rRNA from 1 species
CCUACGGGCGGCAGCAGUGGGGAAUAUUGGACAAUGGGGGGAACCCUGAUCCAACCAUGCCGCGUGUGUGAAGAAGGCCCUCGGGUUGUAAAGCACUUUCAGUGAGGAAGAACGCCUGGUGGUUAAUACCCAUCAGGAAAGACAUCACUCACAGAAGAAGCACCGGCUAACUCCGUGCCAGCAGCCGCGGUAAUACGGAGGGUGCGAGCGUUAAUCGGAAUUACUGGGCGUAAAGCGCGCGUAGGUGGCUUGAUAAGCCGGUUGUGAAAGCCCCGGGCUCAACCUGGGAACGGCAUCCGGAACUGUCAAGCUAGAGUGCAGGAGAGGAAGGUAGAAUUCCCGGUGUAGCGGUGAAAUGCGUAGAGAUCGGGAGGAAUACCAGUGGCGAAGGCGGCCUUCUGGACUGACACUGACACUGAGGUGCGAAAGCGUGGGUAGCAAACAGGAUUAGAUACCCCGGUAGUC